AAAAAAGACAUUCUGAUUCCUAGCUGACCAUUUUUAGAUUGGGGCAUGGGGACGAUGAGGGACAGUGCAGGAGAUAACACGGUGUCCACAGAGAGAGUGUCCCCUGCCGGUGACCAGUGCCGUGCCCUACAGAUUGCUGCAAACACUCUCUCCAAAUUGCAGGCACAGUUUUGAGUCCCCACAGAGUGGUUCAUGUUGCAAUUUGUAGUCUCAAUUUCUUUUUACAAAAUUAUGAUGUUUAAAGCAUUGUGUAAUUAGGUCAGAGGAAAACAGUGUUUAUUCUAUGAGCUGAGCAGAGGCUGCUCGUCUGAAUUCUCAUUAACCCAGUGGUUGAUUUGCUACCGCCAAGAGUUUGCUGACAAUGAAGGCAUGAGAGCAGUCUGACAGAUACUGCACUUUUUACAGACUGAGGGUUUGUGGUGACCCGCCUCGCACGUCUGUCGGAGCCAGUUUUGCAACAUUCGCUCAGCUCAUAUUUCUGUCACGUUUCAGUAAUUUGCACAAUAUUUCAAGCUUUCUUGUUCUCAUUGUGUGUUAAAGUGAUCUGUGGUCAGUGGCCUUUUAUGUCGUUACUGUGAUUGUUUCGGAGUGCCGUGAACCGUGCCCAUGUAAGAAGGCACUGAAACAGUGAACGUCAUGUGUGUUCUGCCUGCUCCACCCACUAGCUGCUCCCCCUGCUCUCACCUAGGGGCCCCCUGUUCCCUGAGACACAGCAAUAUUGAAAUUACAUCAGUUAGUAACUCUACUGUGGCCUCCAAGUGUUUGAAUAAAAGGAAGAGUUGCAUGUCUCUCGCUUUAAAUCAAAAGCUAGAAAUAAUUAAGCUUAGCGAGGAAGGCGUGUUGAAAGCCAAGUUAGGCUAAAAGCUAGGCUUCUUGCGCCAAACUGUCAGCUAAGUCAUGACUGCAAAGGAAAAGUUCUUGAAGGAAAUUAAAAGUGCUGCUCCAGUGAACACAUGAAUGAUAAGAAAGUGAGAUAACCUUAUUGCUGAUACGGAGAGAAUGUUAAUCUCUGGGUGGAAAGUCAAACCAGCCACAACAUACUCCCUUCAAUUCUAUGAAGAAUUGAGAGAGGUGAGGCAGCUGCAGAAAAAAAGUCUGAAGCUGGCAGAGAUUGGGUCAUGAUUUUUUAGGUAAAGAAACCACCUCCCUAACGUAGAAGUGCAAGGUGAAGCAGCGAGUGCUAACGUAGACGCUGCACCAGUUAAUCCAGAAGAUUUAGCUAAGAUAACUCAUGAAGGUGGCUACGCUGAACAGAUUUUCCAUAUGGACAACACAGCCUUUUACUGGAAGAAGAUGCCAUGUGGAACUCUCACAGAUGGAGAGAAGUCAAUGCCCGGCUUCAAAACUUCAAAGGGCAGGCUGAUUCUCUUGCUAGGGGCUAAGGCAGCUAACGACUUGAGGUUGAAGCCAGUGCUCCCUCACCAUUCCCCAGAUCCUAGGACCUUUAUGCUCAGUCAGCGCUUCCCUGGCCCAGAGGUAAAGAAUCCGCCUGCCAAUCCAGGGGACAUGGGUUUGGUCUCUGGUCUUGGAGGAUCCCACACGCCUCGGAGCAACUAAGCCCCCGCAUCAUGACUGCGGGGCCUGUGUUACUGCGGGGCCUGUGUUCCAGAGCAAGGGGGCAGCAACCACGGAUGCCCCCACACCCCGGAGCCCCUGCUCCGCAGCAAGAGAAGACACUGCGGUGAGAAGGCUUCGCACCCAGCUAGAGAAAAGCCUGAGCAGCGACGAAGACCCAGCACUGCAGAAAAUAAAACACGUGAUUUUGAAAAAUUGAAAGAAGAAUUACCUGACAUCUACCCUGCCUGUGCUCUAUAAAUGGAACCACAAAACCUGGGUGAUAUCACAUCUUGUUUACAACGUGGUUUCAGAAAAAAAAAAAAAAAAGCUUUUUAUUCAAAAUGUUACUGCUCACUGAGAACGCACAUGGUCGUCGGAGAGUUCUGAUGGUGCUGUGCAAGGAGGCUCAUGUUGUUUUCAUGCUUGUUAACAGGACAUCCACUCGGCAGCCCACGGAUCAAGGGGUAAUUGCAACUUUCCAGUCUUAUGAUUUAAGGAGUAGAUGCCACAGAAAGUGCUUCCUCUGAUGGAUCUGAGCAAGGUCAAUCGCCCAGAAAGGAUUCACCAUCUUGGAAGCCAUGAACAUCGGUGAUUCAUGGCAAGAGGUCAAAAUAUCAAGGUUACUAGGAGUUUGGAAGAAGCUGAUUCCUCAGAAAUGGAGCAGGACCCUGUGGUCAUUGCUCCCUGACCAUAUCCUCUGCAUGCCUUUGGUCUGUGGAAACUUUAAAGAACAAGAUUUAUCAGAGAAGUGAGAAAUGCUGAGACAGAAGGAAAUAGCCAAAGGAGACCAAAUAAUAAGAAUGUGGUCAUUAAGCACAGUCACGGACCUUUCGUUCCUUCUCAAGGGCUGCGGAUGAUAUUCUGAGCCAUAUCCUGUGAGCCGUCUUGUAGAUACUAGAACACCAGGUGGAGAAGUGAACUGCAUGAUGGCCAGACUGUACUUCAGCUGCCACAGUUCCGAGAAUUGGCUGCAAAGAAAGGGGAACAAGUGCACCCCGGAACUGAAGAUUAACUGCACCUAAAACAACCAAGGUGAUGCUGGUCAGACCACUGAGGACCAAUUUGCAGACGACUGUUAGAGAUGACUGUGCUGUUUCUGCAUGUAACCUGCCCCCCCCCACCCCAAUACUCUGUCUAUAAAAGCACCCACUGUCAGGGGCAGGGGAGAAGCUGGACUUUGGACAGGUGUCCACACCCUCCACCCCCAGUUGCCAGCGUCUGAAAUAAAGCAAACUUCCCUUUCCACCAGCCUGGCCUCUUUGUUGGCUUUUGAGUGGUGAGCAGCUGGACCCCACGCUCAUGGGUGACUGAACGGUUCAAGACCUCAGUGGAGGCAGCAACUGCAAAAGUGGUGGGAAACGCCAGAGACCUAGCAUUAGAAGUGGAGCCUGAAGAGGUGACUGAAUUACUGCAAUCUCAGGAUAAAACUGGGACAGAUGAAACGUUGUUUCUUACGAAUCAGCACAUAGAGUGAGUUUUUGACAUAGGACCUACUGUUGGUAAAGACGCUGUGAAGAUUGUUGAAAUGACAAUGUAGGAUUUAGAAUAGUAUACAGAUAUUCUAAAUAAUUAUAUAAAUAUCACCCAAAGUUUACAGGUCACUCUUGGUUUUGUAAUUUGAUGGGUUUGGGCAAAUAUAUUCAUCACGUACUUUUCAAAGUUAUAUCUUAAAACUGGAAUACUCCAGAAACUUAGUAGGGAUGAUAGGAAAAAAAAAAAAAAGAAAGAAACAACUGAUGCCUUUUGAAAACAAAAUCUGUGUCCCAGCCCUUCCUAUACCCAUAGGAAGCGAAAAAAAAAAAAAAAAGGCUUUGAAGUUGGGCAGAUCUUGGUGUGAGUUCAAGCCCUGUUCUGUGCUGUUAGCUGUAUGACCUUGGUCCCAAGGUGACUCUUCUUUAAGUACAGGUCACACAUAGCCUCCCUGACGAAUGAGUGUCUAACGUGAUUUUUGCUCACCCUUCUCCAGCUACUGCAGUUAUUUUUAAUUCCAUGCCUGCUUAGAGCUGAUGAGACAGACAAGUUAACAGAUGACUGCAAGUCAGACAAGGGCCAACUGGACCCAUCAGAAGUACUCUUGAGGUGGCUGAAGAAGUAGGAGAGCAUGAAAGAAUGAAAGCCUUGGUCUGUCAUACAACAUAACCACCAGUAGGAGGUGGGAGAGGCGGAAUGAUGGCCUGUCGAGGAUGUCCAUGUCCCUGUGUUAUCCAGUAAGUUGCAGCAUACAGGAUCUUUAGGUGUGGCAUGUUGGAGCUAAUUCCCUGACGAAGGAUCGAACCCAAGCCCCCUGCAUUAUGAGCUCAGCGUCUUAGUCACUGGAUCACCAGGGAAGCCCCAGCUGUCCUUAAAAGAUGGAUCUUAUCUUGGACUCUCUAGUUGGUUCCAUACAAUCACAAGGGAAAAGGGAAGCAGGAGUUCAGAGUCAGAGAAGGUUUUGAAGGUGCUGCUCUGCUGGCUUUGGAGACAGAGGAAGCACACCCCCAGGAAAACGGAUGGCCUCCAGAAGCUGCAAAGGCGAGGAAACAGUCUCUCCUGGAGAUUCCAGAAGGAAGGCAGCCCUGACAGCAGCUCCCUGUUAGCUCAUUAGCCCAUUUUAGACUUCUCACUUCCACUGUAAAAUGCAUAAAUGUAAAAAUGAUAAAUGUGUGCUUUUCUAAGGC
ensembl:lncRNA